GAUGAACGCUGGCGGCGUGCCUAAUACAUGCAAGUCGAGCGAACAGACGAGGAGCUUGCUCCUCUGACGUUAGCGGCGGACGGGUGAGUAACACGUGGAUAACCUACCUAUAAGACUGGGAUAACUUUGGGAAACCGGAGCUAAUACCGGAUAAUAUAUUGAACCGCAUGGUUCAAUAGUGAAAGACGGUUUUGCUGUCACUUAUAGAGGGAUCCGCGCCGCAUUAGCUAGUUGGUAAGGUAACGGCUUACCAAGGCGACGAUGCGUAGCCGACCUGAGAGGGUGAUCGGCCACACUGGAGGUGAGACACGGUCCAGACUCCUACGGGAGGCAGCAGUAGGGAAUCUUCCGCAAUGGGCGAAAGCCUGACGGAGCAACGCCGCGUGAGUGAUGAAGGUCUUCGGAUCGUAAAACUCUGUUAUUAGGGAAGAACAAAUGUGUAAGUAACUAUGCACGUAUUGACGGUACCUAAUCAGAAAGCCACGGCUAACUACGUG
rnacentral:rRNA from 1 species